rnacentral:rRNA from 1 species
AGAGUUUGAUCAUGGCUCAGAACGAACGCUGGCGGCGUGCUUAACACAUGCAAGUCGCGUGCGCAGUUUCCGUAGCAAUACGGAGAGGGCGCACGGCGCACGGGUGCGUAACACGUGGGCAAUCUGCCCUUUGAUGGGGAAUAACCCGCCGAAAGGCGGGCUAAUUCCGCAUAAGAUUCUUUGGACUUCGGUCUGGAGAUUGAAAGCAGCAAUGCGUCGAAGGAGGACCCGCGCCCGAUUAGCUAGUUGGUGAGGUAACGGCUCACCAAGGCUAUGAUCGGUAGCUGGUCUGAGAGGAUGAUCAGCCACACUGGAACUGAGACACGGUCCAGACUCCUACGGGAGGCAGCAGUGGGGAAUCUUGCACAAUGGGCGAAAGCCUGAUGCAGCGACGCCGCGUGGGGGAUGAAGCAUUUCGGUGUGUAAACCCCUUUCGACUGGGAAGAAUACCUCGCAAGAGGGGUGACGGUACCAGUAGAAGAAGCCCCGGCUAACUACGUGCCAGCAGCCGCGGUAAGACGUAGGGGGCCAGCGUUGUUCGGAAUUACUGGGUGUAAAGGGUUCGUAGGCGGUGCGGCAAGUUGGGAGUGAAAUCUCUGGGCUUAACCCAGAGGCUGCUUCCAAAACUGCUGUGCUCGAGUGUGAGAGAGGCUCGUGGAAUUGCAGGUGUAGCGGUGAAAUGCGUAGAUAUCUGCAGGAACACCCGUGGCGAAAGCGGCGAGCUGGAUCACUACUGACGCUGAGGAACGAAAGCUAGGGGAGCAAACAGGAUUAGAUACCCUAGUAGUCC